rnacentral:rRNA from 1 species
AGGUGUUGUUGGGUAGGGGAGCGUUCUGUAAGCCUGCGAAGGUGGCCUGUGAGGGUUGCUGGAGGUAUCAGAAGUGCGAAUGCUGACAUAAGUAACGAUAAAGCGGGUGAAAAGCCCGCUCGCCGGAAGACCAAGGGUUCCUGUCCAACGUUAAUCGGGGCAGGGUGAGUCGACCCCUAAGGCGAGGCCGAAAGGCGUAGUCGAUGGGAAACGGGUUAAUAUUCCCGUACUUGGUGUUACUGCGAAGGGGGGACGGAGAAGGCUAUGUUGGCCGGGCGACGGUUGUCCCGGUUUAAGCGUGUAGGUGUGUGUUCCAGGUAAAUCCGGUUCACUUUAACACUGAGGCGUGACGACGAGGCACUACGGUGCUGAAGCAACAAAUGCCCUGCUUCCAGGAAAAGCCUCUAAGCAUCAGGUAACAUCAAAUCGUACCCCAAACCGACACAGGUGGUCAGGUAGAGAAUACCAAGGCGCUUGAGAGAACUCGGGUGAAGGAACUAGGCAAAAUGGUGCCGUAACUUCGGGAGAAGGCACGCUGACACGUAGGUGAAGUGAUUUACUCACGGAGCUGAAGUCAGUCGAAGAUACCAGCUGGCUGCAACUGUUUAUUAAAAACACAGCACUGUGCAAACACGAAAGUGGACGUAUACGGUGUGACGCCUGCCCGGUGCCGGAAGGUUAAUUGAUGGGGUCAGCGCAAGCGAAGCUCCUGAUCGAAGCCCCGGUAAACGGCGGCCGUAACUAUAACGGUCCUAAGGUAGCGAAAUUCCUUGUCGGGUAAGUUCCGACCUGCACGAAUGGCGUAAUGAUGGCCAGGCUGUCUCCACCCGAGACUCAGUGAAAUUGAACUCGCUGUGAAGAUGCAGUGUACCCGCGGCAAGACGGAAAGACCCCGUGAACCUUUACUAUAGCUUGACACUGAACAUUGAGCCUUGAUGUGUAGGAUAGGUGGGAGGCUUUGAAGUGUGGACGCCAGUCUGCAUGGAGCCGACCUUGAAAUACCACCCUUUAAUGUUUGAUGUUCUAACGUGGACCCGUGAUCCGGGUUGCGGACAGUGUCUGGUGGGUAGUUUGACUGGGGCGGUCUCCUCCUAAAGAGUAACGGAGGAGCACGAAGGUUGGCUAAUCCUGGUCGGACAUCAGGAGGUUAGUGCAAUGGCAUAAGCCAGCUUGACUGCGAGCGUGACGGCGCGAGCAGGUGCGAAAGCAGGUCAUAGUGAUCCGGUGGUUCUGAAUGGAAGGGCCAUCGCUCAACGGAUAAAAGGUACUCCGGGGAUAACAGGCUGAUACCGCCCAAGAGUUCAUAUCGACGGCGGUGUUUGGCACCUCGAUGUCGGCUCAUCACAUCCUGGGGCUGAAGUAGGUCCCAAGGGUAUGGCUGUUCGCCAUUUAAAGUGGUACGCGAGCUGGGUUUAGAACGUCGUGAGACAGUUCGGUCCCUAUCUGCCGUGGGCGCUGGAGAACUGAGGGGGGCUGCUCCUAGUACGAGAGGACCGGAGUGGACGCAUCACUGGUGUUCGGGUUGUCAUGCCAAUGGCACUGCCCGGUAGCUAAAUGCGGAAGAGAUAAGUGCUGAAAGCAUCUAAGCACGAAACUUGCCCCGAG